rnacentral:rRNA from 1 species
UACGGAGGGUGCAAGCGUUAUCCGGAUUCACUGGGUUUAAAGGGUGCGUAGGCGGCGCGGUAAGUCGGGUGUGAAAUCUCGGAGCUUAACUCCGAAACUGCAUUCGAUACUGCCGUGCUUGAGGACUGGAGAGGAGACUGGAAUUUACGGUGUAGCGGUGAAAUGCGUAGAGAUCGUAAGGAAGACCAGUGGCGAAGGCGAGUCUCUGGACAGUUACUGACACUGAGGCACGAAGGCCAGGGGAGCAAACGGG